rnacentral:lncRNA from 1 species
GUGAUGAAUUACCUUAGCAUUUGUUUGUCUGAAAGGAUCUUAUUUCUUGGUUAGAAUUUCCUUUCUUUAAGAGUGCUAAAAAUAAGCCCCCAGUCUCUUCUGGCUGGGCUUGAUUCUGGUAUAAGGUAAGUUCAGUUAAUUGCCUUUGGUUCUGGAAGAUUUGGGGUGGCUAAUGGUCAGCUCAAUACUCCUGGAUUGUGCCCUGUAACUUUGGGGGCUGGUACUAGGACCCCAGCUUUGUUCUUUGUCCCCUUGAGGGUAGGAAUCUGCUGUCCUGGAGGGACUGAGGUCUUCUCAGUCUGUAGGUUUUAACACUCUGACAGGGAGGGCUGGCCAAAGCACAUCACUGGGGUGGUGGCAGCAGGAUCAGUGCUUGCUUGCAUGUGCCAGCUGUGGUGUUGUGGUGAAGUACACCUGCAUUGGCUGGGGUGGGGUGCUGGGGGGAGCCUUUCUUAGUUUUCACAGGUUCCCUAUACUGGCAAAAACUUGUGGUCUUAGUAUUUGGCUGAGAUCCAGUAGGUGGCACUUAAGAGUGUUAACCAGCAGACUUCAGGCAAAAGUAGAACCACUGGGCCAGAAGCUCUACCAGGUGUGGCUCACCUGGAUACCAGUGGCGGGGUGGUCUCCUGCCCUGCCUUCUGAGCGUUUCCUGGGACAGCAGCAGGCUACAGCUACUGGCUGAGUUCAGGUAGGUGUGGGAUCACUGGGUCAAAAGCUGGUAUUGAGCCUUGUAUGGUAGGUAGGCAUAGAGCCAUCUUACUGCUACCAGGCACCACGACUGCAGCCACUUUCUGGGUUAUGAUGCUGGUGCUGGUCUGUUCCAGGGUCUGAGGCUUGUUAGAGGUCCCUUUAGACCUGAGAAUAGCAUCUGCAAAAACUCUGGGGAUCUUUCUGCUUCAGUUUAGAAGCAUAGUAGGCGGUACUUGGGACAGGGUGCUGGGGCAUUCUCCUGUUCCCAGUCUUGCAGAGGUCUCUGUGGAGAGUGUGAAUCCCCCAGAGAUUCACCCUUUCCCAUGUUGGAGAGCUUCUCCUGGCUGGAUGUUGAUCCCAGACAGGCUGCAACCCAGCUUUACUCCUCUCUGCUAUCUGUGUUCCCUUUCUGUCUUGAUGGUACCUGAACAGUUUCUUAAUGAUGCAAACAUUUAAGGCUUUGAACUUUUCUCUACAUACUGCUUUAGCUGUAUUAUUUUUAAUUCUACAAAUUUAUUUUGCCUCUCCUCUAAGGGUUGUUUUUAGAGCAAUUUAUUUAGUUUUCAGUGAAAGAGACUUACUCUUUUCUGAUGUUAUAAUUUAAUUUUAUUAUAUUGUAAGGAAAGAUUAUUGUUUUAUUUUCACCUUUCAGAAUUUAAUGAGAUGCUCUCUAAUGGCUUAGUGUAUGGUCAGUUUUAAUGUUUGUUAAUAUUUGUAGAAAGCAUAUAACAUAUUUUUAUAGACAUUUAUAAAAUAUAUCUACUUAAUUAUGUCAUUAAAUUAUCCUAUAUUUUUUGAUAUAUUUUUGACCACUGGAAGUGUCAUUAUCACGACUUAACAUGCCAUUGAUAGAAGUUAAUUCUCCUACUUCAAGUGUGUUUGUUGUCUAUUGUUUCUUUUAUCACAUACCUUCUACUUAAGAAUGUUGCUGCUUUUGUGUUCUGUUUGCCAGCAUUUUAUUGAAGACUUUUGCAUCAAUGUUCAUCAUGGAUAUUGUCCUGAAGUUUUCUUGUUUAGUUGUGUCUCUGCCCGGUUUUGGUAUAAGGAUGAUGUUGGUCUCGUAAUAUGGGUUGGGGAGGAUUCCCUCUUUCUGUAUUGUGUGGAAUAGUUUCAGAAGAAAUGGUACCAACUCCUCUUUCGAUGUCUGGUAGAAUUCAGCUGUAAACCCAUCUGGACCUGCACUUUUUUGGUUGAUAGGCUAUUAAUUGCUGCCUCAACUUUAACCCUUGUUAUUGGUCUAUUCAGGGUUUCAACUUCUUCCUGGUUUAGUCUUGGGAUAGUACAAGUGUCCAGGAAUUUAUCAAUUACUUCCAAAUUUACUGGUUUGUGUGUGUAGAGUUGUUUGUAGCAAUCUCUGAUGGUGGUUUGUAUUUCUGUGGAAUCGGUGGUGAUGUCCCCUUUAUCAUUUUUUAUUACAUCUAUUUUAUUCUUCUCUCUUUUAUUUUUUAUUAGUCUGGCUAGCAGUCUAUUUAUUUUGUUGAUCUUUUCAAAAAACCAGCUCCUGAAUUUGUUGAUUUUUUGAAGGGUUUUUAAACGCUUAUUCAUCAUGAUC